rnacentral:tRNA from 1 species
GCUGAUGUAACUCAAUUGGUAGAGUAUCUGUUUUGUAAUCAGAAUGUUAAGGGUUCAAGUCCCUUCGUCAGCCCCA